GAUGGAGAUAAUUCUUACAUUUACACAGCAAAGAAAUGUUUAAUCGUGACAAUAAGUUGUGUUUGGAACAUUCUAAUGUAACGUUAUAAGGUAGCAGUCUUAGGAUGGUAAAUUAUAUAAGUCAUUAAACAAAUAACUUUGUUGCACCACAUAUGCAUAGGCUAAUAGCAAAAGUAGCUAAUUAAACUAUUUUUUGUCGCAAAUAAGUUGAUAAUGCAAGAUACAGGGAAAUGCAAGAUUUUCAGUAGCGAUAUGUUACCUAUAUUACACUAACUCGCAACAAUUAAGCCUCUUUUAGCCAACAUGAUCAGAUGAAGAACAGUGUUGCCAGAUUGGUUUGUUUUCCAGCCCAGUAAUUACUUAAAAUCCACACAAAAUUAUACAAUAAACUCCCAGAAUGAUCUAUAAUAAACAAUACAACUUAAUUCAUACCAGCACUACUUUUGUGGCUUGUCAUGUUUUAAUAUGAAAUAAUAAAUAAUUUAAGUGCUCUUUCAGAUAUUAUAUAGGAGCCUACGAUAGACACUGCGAAUGUAAAAUUAUUUUCCAUUUCUGUACUUUCCCUUAAAAUAGCAAAAUUUCACCUGCCCAAGCCCAUUUUAAUACACAUAGUACAACCCAGAACCAACUAAAUGGGUGGAAAACAUUCUGCCUGACAAGACUGAUGGAGAAUACUGGUGAAAAUGUAAUGCUCUUUAUCUCCUACAGCACACACACACACACACACACACACACACACACACACACACACACACACACACACACACACACACACACACACACACACACACUGGGGGAAAUCUGUCCUUAAAAGCAAAUGCUGGUCGUAUGAUCUGUAUCCACACAUCCAUCCAGUAAAACCUUUCAUAGAAACUGCCAGUAAACAAUAAAUACGAUAAUUGUUUAUAAACAAAUAAUAUUAUGCUCAUAAAAAUAUGCCAAUUUAGCUGUUUUAUUUAUUCUGCUAUAUAUUAUUACAAAAAUGUGAUUACAGUACAGAAUAUAUAUGACAUAAACUGCUUCACGUUCACAAGGUCACGUUCUUUCUGAUCCCAUUUUUAAACCCUAGUUAGUGUGUAAUGUUGCUUUCAUAGCAUAAAUAAUACCUGUAAAAUGAUAAAGCUGAAAGUUCACUGCCAGUCGAUUUAUUUUCUUUAACAGAAUUCGCCUUUCAAAGCCUACAGCGAACGGCCGGUUUGGACUUCAGCCCUCUACUUUCUGCUUUAAUGAUGUCACUAGAACAGUUUUUUGACUAAACUCCGCCCACAGGAAUACAUCAGUGGCCAGCUAAGCUAACGGUGCGAGCCAAGCCAAUUUUAUUUAUUGGGAAACAGGAUAAAAAGGCUUCGAAUAAGUGGGUUGCAUAUAUUAUUACCCAUUGGCACCCCACUCCUGUCACUACAAUUUUUUGGAGGAGAUGCGGAGGGCUUUAUCUUGACAAAAGCAACCUCCACAGGACAGCAGCCUGAGAGCCUUGCCAUGGAGCGGCCUGAGAGCCCUGCUGUGAAAUGGCCGGAGAACCUCACCAAGAAGUCUGAGGCAAUAUUUGUACUAAAUCUUGUUCAGCUGUCUUCUAGACUCUCUCCAACCUCUCUUGCUCCUACUACCUCUACUGCUUUUACAACAAUUUUCUCUCCACUUUUUUUCCCCACCUCCACUGCCAUGCUCUAAGUUUUUGCCACAGAGGAAGAGGAAGAUAAAGAAAUCUACCUCUUCCCACUAUACCACACUUGUCUCUCUUCAAUUUGCAUCUGUCUCUUCCAGUUCUAAAUCUCAGAAGUGGCCACUGGUGAAGAACAGAAUAAAGGAUAACUUUUCCUGUUACAUCUUACUCCACAAUUUGCUCCUAGUCAAAUAUGUCUUCAUGUUAAUUAAAUUCAUUUAGCUAACCAGGUAUUUGUUAGCCAGUUCACAGUGUUUUAGAGCCCAAUGUCCAAGGACUGUGGUCAAUGUAAAUUCCUGACUUAAAUGGACACUUCACUUUUUUUUGCUAAUUUUCCAGCAGUAAGUUUUACCGUUUUAGAAUCCAUUCAGCUGAUCUCCGCGUCUGGCACUACCUUUUUUAGCAUAGCUUAGCAUAAUAAUUGAAUCUGAUUAGGCCAUUAGCAUCACGCCAAAAAAUAACCAAAGAGUUUCGAUAUUUUUCCUAUUUAAAACUUGACUCUUCUGUAGUUACAUCGUGUACUAAGACAGACGGAAAAUUAAAAGUUGUGAUUUUCUCAGCUGAUAUUUCUAGGAACUAUACUCUUAUUCUGUCGUAAUAAUCAAGGACUUUGCUGUCGUAACAUGGCUGCAGAAGGCAUAAUGAUAUAACGCAGUGCCCGAAAAUAGUCCCCUUAGUAUCUUUCAAUAGCAGGGGACUUUUUUCGGGCACUGCGUAAUAUCAUUUUGGUUGAUUGACAAAAACAAGCACAAAUUUGUUUGACACUAAUGGAAAGGACUGCAUAUCACUUCACAUAAAUAUGGACUCAUGUGAUUCACCUACAAAGCAUGGCAUUCAUGGCUUAAUAAACUUUUUGUCUUUUCAUCAUUUCAGGUUGCUGAAAAUGUAGAUGGCAGAAGGUUUCCUUUUCGAUAAAAUAACUGAGGAACAGAUAAAUGAGAGGAAAGCCGAAUUGAAAGUUCACUGGUUACGUGCUCUGUGUGUGGAAAAACCUGGGAUGACACAUAGGAGUCUGCCAGCAAAUUCCAACACAAGUCCCCACAUCCCAACCAGUUUUCAGCAUGACAGCCUACACCUUUACAUUAUCAAGCACCCUUCAACUGUUUAAUUUUGAGUGUCUUUGCUUGCUGUUCUUUAUUAAAGUUUUUGCACAGUA